rnacentral:rRNA from 1 species
AGUGAACGCUGGCGGUAGGCCUAACGCAUGCAAGUCGAACGGCAGCACCGGAGAGCUUGCCCUCUGGGUGGCGAGUGGCGGAGGGGUGAGGAAUAAAUCGGAAUCUGCCCAGUCGUGGGGGAUAACGUAGGGAAACUUACGCUAAUACCGCAUACGAACUUCGGGUGAAAGAGGGGGAGCGCAAGACCUCUCGCGGUUGGAUGAGCCGAUGUCGGAGUAGCUAGUCGGGGGGGUAAUUGCCCACCAAGGCGGCGAUCGGUAGCCGGCCUCAGGGGGUGAUCCGCCACCCGGGAACUGAGACACGGUCCAGACUCUUACGGGAGGCAGCAGUGGGGAAUAUUGGACAAUGCGCGAAUGCCUGAUCCAGCCAAACCGCGUGAGUGAAGAAGGCCUUCGGGUUGUAAAGCCCUUUUGUUGGGAAAGAAAUCAUUCAGUCUAAUACGCUGCGAGGAUGACGGUACCCAAAGAAUAAGCACCGGCUAACUUCGUG